rnacentral:rRNA from 1 species
AUUGAACGCUGACGGCAGGCCUAACACAUGCAAGUCGAGCUAGCGGCGGACGAGUGGGUAAUGCCUUGGAAUUGCCCAGUCGAGGGGGAUAACAGUUGAAAACGACUGCUAAUACCGCAUACGGAUGGAUUGCGCAGGUGGGAUUAGCUGGUUGGUGAGGUAAUGGCUCACCAAGGCGACGGUCCCUAGCUGGUCUGAGAGGAUGGUCAGCCACACUGGAACGGAGACAGGGUACAGACUCCCACGGUAGGAAGCCGUGGGGAAUAUUGCACAAUGGGUGAAACCUUGAGGCAGCCAGGCCGAGUGUGUGAACAAGGACUUCGGGUUGUAAAGUAAAGUCAGCGGGGAUGCGUUACCCACAGAAGAAGCAACGGCUAACUCCGUGCCAGCAGCCGCGGUAAUAC